GGGAAGUAGAGCUGCAUACAAGAAACAUUAAGGAGGUACAAAACUCUAGCAAUAUGGAACUCUUGCGCUAUAAUGGCAACAAAUGGUGACCCUGAUGUGAUUUGGGAUAAAGGACUCAAAUGCUAAACUAUAUGAGCAGAGCUGGAGUCACUUGGCCACUGCAAGAAGAAGAGAGUCAGUGCCUAGAGGAGAUGCCCACAAGAAACAUCAUGGAGGGCAGCAGGAAACCCAUCCCUGUGCUGCUGCAAUGAUUUAUAAUCUGAAAUGCAUGCUCUGUUUGACCAGCAGUCCAUCUGGGCCAGCUUUACAUCUCCAGCUGUAAAUGUAGACUUUAAUCCAUUGUAAAAAAAUUUGAGCUGGAGAAGACAACAGUCUGAUGACAUACUGAGGGAUAUAUUUGUGAAAUCCAUAGUUUAUCUAGAAGCUGGAGAACAUCUUUUAGAAAGGGACAAUUAUUAAGUUAGAGAGACAAAUCCUGAGGUGAGUUUCUUCUAAGUUUAACUGUUAUCCUGAUUAAAGAUGCAUACAUUAUUUCUUGUCUGAAUGUAUUUAACUUCAGCUAGAUCUGGCUGUCAGGUACUGAUAUCACUUCUCUUCUAAAAUAGAAAGUCUUAUUGUAUCAGGAAUAUUUUUUUCUCUCUGGAUAAUUCUAGGCUGUGAUCAUAUUAACCUCCCCUUUGCUAAACUGCUGUGUGAGCUCCUGUAAACUCUCACUGAAGGGAGAUGAGACUCCUCAAGCACUGGU